AGCCAUCAACAAGUUCUCAACCAUAUAAAUACCUAUGAUGAGAAGCAUGAACGGCAUCAAAAAUGAAUAUAAAAAUUUCAUCUCCUUGACGCUAUAAAAGGGUGUGAUACUUCUAUGCAAAUUCUCUUUAAGAAGCGCGGAAGAGAGCUAUGCCACGAAAAUAGAGAUGCAGACGGACAUUUAACGUUGAGGGAGUACUAAGUGCUGAGUGAAACACGAAAGUCUAGAUUUGUUAAUAUGCAACAGGGAAAUUGAAAGCCGUACGGAGAAGCUGUUUGGAAGGAUACUAAGGAAAAUGAAAGGUAUUAAUAGUCAAUGUAGA